GACGGAGGGUGCUAGCGUUGUUCGGAAUGACUGGGCGUAAAGGGUGCGUAGGCGGCGCGGUAAGUCGGGUGUGAAAUCUCGGAGCUUAACUCCGAAACUGCAUUCGAUACUGCCGUGCUUGAGGACUGGAGAGGAGACUGGAAUUUACGGUGUAGCGGUGAAAUGCGUAGAUAUCGUAAGGAAGACCAGUGGCGAAGGCGGGUCUCUGGACAGUUCCUGACGCUGAGGCACGAAGGUCAGGGGAGCAAACGGG
rnacentral:rRNA from 1 species